rnacentral:rRNA from 1 species
GUGGGUAGUCCGCACGAGCGCACCUCACUUUUAGUUGCCAUCAUUAAGUUGGGCACUCUGAAAGAACUGCCAGUGAUAAGCUGGAGGAAGGUGGGGAUGACGUCAAGUCCUCAUGGCCCUUACGUGUUGGGCUACACACGUGCUACAAUGGCAUCUACAACAGGAAGCAAAACGGCAACGUUAAGCAAAUCCCGAAAAGAUGCCUCAGUUCGGAUUGCACUCUGCAACUCGAGUGCAUGAAGCUGGAAUUACUAGUAAUCGUGGAUCAGCGUGCCACGGUGAACGCGUUCCCGGGUCUUGUACACACCGCCCGUCACACCAUGGGAGUUGGUUCUACCUUAAGGCAAGGCUUCAAACCCUUGACCACGGUAUAGUCAGCGACUGGGGUGAAGUCGUAACAAGGUAGCCGUAGGGGAACCUGCGGCUGGAUUACCUCCUUUCU